CAUGCACUUCUCUAGUUGACUCUGAUUCUUCCCAUCAGAACAACAAUUCCUUCCUUAUUCAGAGAGAUAAACUUCUGUGUAAUUCAGAUAAAUUGUCAAUAGUCUUUAAUCUGUAAAACCAUAUGCAACCUCCUAGCUUCUCUCUGAUUUUCUUUGUACUUGUAGCACUGGGAACCAGUCAGUUUCUGUCAUGUGUAGCAAUGGACAACAUCACCUCUAUCAGUAGGUUGCAAGAUGAUGGCAGCACGCUCAUGUCUGCUGGGAAAAUCUUUGAACUUGGCUUCUUCAGUCCUGAUGGUAACGAUGUUGAAACAUAUCUAGGCAUAUGGUAUUACCUGCGGAAAACAGUUGUAUGGGUUGCCAACAGAGAUAAACCAAUACUACAUUCAUAUGGAUAUCUUUCCAUAGGUGAAGAUGGCAAUCUCAAGUUGCUGGAUGAGAUGGGAACUUCAUAUUUCAAUACUACGCUUGAAAGCUCUAGUCCUGUUAACAGGAUGCUGAAGCUGCUGGAUUCUGGGAAUUUGGUACUGAUUGAUGGGAGCUCAGGAAAUAUUCUGUGGCAAAGCUUUGCUGAGCCAACUGAUACUUUUCUUCCAGGCAUGAGCAUGGAUAAAGGUUUAAAGUUGGUUUCCUGGUGGGAUUCUGGCAAUCCUAAAACUGGGAACUUCACAUUUGAGCAAGAUCAAGAAAAUAGGCUGUACAGGAUAAUGGAAAGGUCAACUGUUGUGCACUGGGAAAGUGAUCAAUCAGGUUCAAUUGACCUGCCUUACUUUGUGGCUUUCCUCUUGUCAAAUUUUAGCCCUAGUCUCGACCGGGCUAAUUAUAAGCCUUCAAAUGCAUAUAAAACAAAUAUAUAUAAGUGGCUAAGAGAGCCAUUUACUUCUAACUAUUCGGCUGCUCUAGCUAAGUAUGCAAAUACUAGGUUGUUGAUGAAUUCCUCUGGAGAGAUACAGUUUUACAUUAAGGAAGAGGGUGUGCCUGAAUGGUUGUUGGUUUCGUCAGAGCCCCAAGAUGCUUGCAAAGUCCAUCUCCCUUGUGGCAAUUUUGGUAGCUGUAAUCUGAAAAAUGGGGGUCGUAGUUGUGAAUGUUUGCUAGGAUUCGAGCCCGUUCAUCCUGAUACCUGGAAUACUGGAGAUUUUAAAAGUGGUUGUAGGAGGACGUUGGAAAUCUGCAACCCGAACACCAAACCUCACACGUUCUUGAAUCUGAAGUUGAUGAAAGCCGGGAAACCGGACUUCUUAGCUGCUAGUGCUAACAGUGAAAAUUUGUGCAGACAGGGGUGUCUCAGCAAUUGUAAUUGCCUUGCAUACUAUUUCGGCGGGCCAAGUAUAACUGAUAAUCUUGAACAAGGUUGCUCCAUGUGGACUUCUGUGCUUACUGAUUUACAAGAGGAUAUUGAUCGUGGCCACAAUCUUUCCUUUCGUGUAGCAGUUUCUGCCAUAGAAACCACGAGUAGAGAUUGCCAGACUUGUGGUAAACACAUAAUACCAUAUCCAUUGAGCACUGGGCCCAACUGCGGCGAUCUUUCAUACCAUAGUUUCACCUGUAAUGACUCCAGAGGCCAACUUUUCUUCUUGAUGUUGAACAAUAGCUAUGAAGUGAUUAACAUCAAUAAGGAAGACAGGAGAUUUGUUAUCCAAGUUAAUCGCCAAAGGGCUGAGAAUUGUGAUGCCAGGUCAGGCAGAGUUCUGCAGUUCAGUCCAUCAAUGCCAUUUAAUGUUACUAAUUGGUGUUAUAAUGAACCACUUACCUCAAUUCAAAUGAUAGAGAUUACCUGGAAACCCCCUCCGGAACCAAUUUGCAAUUCAUUAAAAGAUUGUAGGGGUUGGCCAGAUUCAAAUUGUUCAACUGCAAUCGAUAAGCGGAAAAGGUGUCUUUGCAAUCCCAACUACAAAUGGAAUAACCUGAAGUGCAUUUCAGCAAUUGUGGCUGAUUCAAACCGGUCAGAACAGAAGCCGCAACUCUCUGUGAAUCGUAUUGCUGUGAUAAUUAGUGGCUUAGCCAUUGCUAUAGUUAUGCUCGCGUGCAGCUUAUGCUUUGUUGUUUACAGAAGGAGGAUCUUAGCAAAUAGAAAAGAAAGCAGAAAAAGCAUUGCAGGGAAUCCAGUCUUUUACUUGGAUGAUAGUGAAACACAAGCUGCAGAUUUGGUUGUCGGAGAUGAUAAAAUUGUUGAUGUCCCUUAUUUCAGUAUGGAAAGCAUAUUGGCUGCUACAGAUAACUUCUCAGACACAAAUAAACUGGGAAGCGGAGGAUUUGGUCCUGUUUACAAGGGAAUGUUCCCUGGAGAAACUGAAAUUGCAGUUAAAAGGUUGUCAAGCCACUCUGGACAAGGCCUGGAGGAAUUUCGAAAUGAAGUUGUGUUGAUUGCUAAACUUCAACAUCGGAACCUAGUUAGACUUUUGGGCUACUGCAUCCAGAGAUCUGAAAAAAUUCUUCUCUAUGAAUACAUGCCAAAUAAAAGCUUAGAUACCUUUAUAUUUGAUCAAAGCCGCUGCAUAUUAUUGAACUGGAACUUGAGAUUCAACAUCAUUCUGGGGAUUGCACGGGGACUUCUUUAUCUUCACCAGGAUUCAAGGUUAAGAAUAAUCCACAGAGAUUUGAAAACAGGCAACAUUCUGUUGGAUGAAGAGAUGAACCCCAAAAUUUCAGAUUUUGGCUUGGCAAGAAUCGUUCAAGGCUACGAGACAGAAGCAAAUACACAAAAAGUAGUUGGAACCUAUGGCUAUAUGUCUCCAGAGUAUGCGCUGGAAGGUUUAUUCUCAGUGAAAUCAGAUGUGUAUAGUUUUGGAGUAGUUUUACUUGAGAUCAUUGGUGGUAAGAGAAACACUACUGGAUUUUACCGAUCUGAAGAAGUCUUGAGUCUUCUAGGCUAUGCAUGGAGAUUGUGGCAAGAAAACAAAGCAAUGGAUUUAGUUGACAAGAAAUUAUUGGAAUCAUGCAAUGGAACUGAAGUCGUGAAGUGCAUAAACAUAGGUCUGUUGUGUGUACAGGAUGAUCCUAGUGAUCGUCCCACAAUGUCUAAUGUUCUUACUAUGCUCAGUAGUGAAACAACAACUCUUCCAAGUCCUAAUCAACCUACUUUUUUAGCGAGAAGACGCACUUCAAGUACAUCUUUGUCUAGUAAAGCAGAAACUAACUCCAUCAAUGAGAUAACUAUCUCAGCAGAAGAAGGCCGAUGAAGGCAUUGCUUGUAUAGUUUCAUUAUUGAGGGGAUGCAGACGUACCUGUCUUGAAGGCAUUCCACUGGCACUGCUAAUUUUGAUUCCUAUAGAAGAGCUCCAAGCUCUUCUGGUGAAUUUUGAAGACAGAUUUGAGACUUUGAAGGAAACAUACCACCAGUUUUCUUAGCAACGGUUGCAAAUAGACUCAUCUGGAGUGAAUAUGAUGGCAAGUGAUGAAAGAAACAGCAGAAUUUGAUCAACCAAGUUUGCUGAUCGCAUAAUGAAUCAAACUAUUGCUACACUCAGGGACAGAGUAAAUCUUAAGAAAGAUAAAAGGGAAUGGAUUAGUAUUGAAGAAUGUUUCAAUCAUCCAUCGGAUACUUUCCUUUCAGGAUUGAAAAUUGGCUGAAUAAUAAAACGGUUGAAGUUAAUCUUA